CGGGUUGUAAAGCACUUUCAGUCGUGAGGAAGGUAGUGUAGUCAAUAGCUGCAUUAUUUGACGUUAGCGACAGAAGAAAGCACCGGCUAACUCCGUGCCAGCAGCCGCGGUAAUACGGAGGGUGCGAGCGUUAAUCGGAAUUACUGGGCGUAAAGACGCAUGCAGGUGGUUUGUUUAAGUCAGAUGUGAAAGACCCGGGGCGUCAACCUCGGAAUAGCAUUUGAAACUAGGCAGACUAGAGUACUGUAGAGGGGGGUAGGAAUUUCAGGUGUAGCGGUGAAAUGCGUAGAGAUCUGAAGGAAUACCGGUGGCGAAGGCGGCCCCCUCGGACAGAUACUGACACUCAGAUGCGAAAGCGUGGGGAGCAAACAGGAUUAGAUACCCUGGUAG
rnacentral:rRNA from 1 species